rnacentral:rRNA from 1 species
AUGGGGGAAUCGCAGAGUAUUCAGGAUUGUUCCAAGUUUGGAGCUUUUGUUGACAGGAUUCCUGGUGCUGAAUUGGGCAAUGUUGGUGACAUGAUGAUCCACUACAUGAGUGGUAGUACUUCACAGGCAGGGGGGGCUAAGAUGAGAAGGCCAUUGCCUUCUCCACCGUUCACAAUGUAUGAUUCUGCGAUGAUUGGAAGCAAUAAGAGUGUUGUGGAGUUUCCUAGUGAUGGUCUACCCGACGAGCAGUUAGCAUCUGCUUUUGGGGACAUGAGCUUAAAGAAUUAUACAGCUGAUUCUCUCACAAGUACCAGAGAUUUUGUGCCAGUAAAUGGGUACUAUCCAUCUGGCCCUGCAAAUUAUCACUCAGAGAUUACGCCUCCAGAUGUUACAUUGAACCCGUCGCUUGUGCCUGCAAUUGUUCAAGAUGAUUUGACGUUCUGUGCUGAACACGUUAAUCAGAAACGAGACGAACUAACUGUUGGACAACAAGAACAAGCUUACAGAUUUCCACCGCUCUUCGAGAAUUUCCCAAGGGGCUCAGUGAUGCACGACCUGGGUAGUUUUUCCAGUGCUCCUUACCACCAAUCAGCUCUGUCAACUUCACCCAUCGAGCAGCAGUUUUAUCUGGAUGUACAGUCUCAGCUGUAUGCACCUUACGGCCAGCCAUUUGAUUCAAACAUCAUGUGGCAGCAUGGUACAGAAACACCAAGAUGCGCGAUGCUGCAACCACAUUAUGUUUACCCACAGUUGCAACAGGUUGCUGGGUCAGAUGUUUGUCGAAGUAGGAGACAUCAACAGGCUGCAGCUUGCACUUCUGCAAACGGCACAUCACAUAUUGAAACACCUAAUAUUCAUCGACAGGGAAUGGGAAUUGAGGAUCCUUACUCUAAUGGUGCUGCCUUUCAGAAGAGAAAUACCCAGCCGAACAGUUUUCAUUGCACACUGUCUGCUGACAGUCCAUGUGGCAGUAGUAACUUCCGUCAGCAAGUUGACAAGUUUUACUCUUUGUCUAAUGGUUUCUCACGCCAUCAGAUUUCAGAUAAUAUCAGCACUGUAAGUUAUCCAGAAAAGCUGCGGAUGAGGGCUGAUGGGGUAAAUUCAGUAAGUACCAAGAGUACUCCUGUAGAUGGUUGCAUUGGUAGGGAUGGAAGAACUAGUAGUGCCCAUAACCAUCUUGAUAUUCAUAGUAAUUAUUCCUUGCACCCCGACACACCAAACUCCCAGCUUCUGCCCUUGGUCAUGAAACCACGUGAGCUGAAUUAUAAUUCAGUUGACGAAGUUGCUGGGCGAAUCUAUAUGUUGGCUAAGGAUCAGAAUGGCUGCCGCUUUCUGCAAAAAGUAUUUGCUCAAGGCAGUCAAGAGGAUGUCGAAAGAGUCUUUGCUGAAAUAAUUGAUCAUAUUGGUCAACUUAUGGUCGAUCCAUUUGGCAACUAUUUAGUGCAGAAGCUGCUUGAAGGGUGCAGUGAUGAUCAACGGAUGCGCAUAAUAUGUGAAGUUACCAAAACGCCUGGAGAUCUUAUUGCAGUUUCUUGCAACAUGCAUGGGACUCGUGCAGUGCAAAAGAUAAUUGAAACUGUAAAUAAUCCGGAUCAAGUUUCUAAGGUUGUGUUUGCACUGAGUCCUGGAGCAAUGCAUUUGAUGCUAGAUCCUAAUGGCAGUCAUGUUGCAAACCGAUGCCUGCAGAAACUGUUACCGGAGUCCAAAGCGUUCCUUCUUGAUGCUGCUACAUUGCACUAUCUUGGACUAGCAACACAUCAACAAGGCUGUUGUAGCAUUCAAAAAUGCAUCGAACAUUCAGAUGAUGAACAGAAGUUCAACUUGUUAAGCAAUAUUAUAUCCAGUGCUCUAACCCUUGCCGAUGAUCGAUUUGGGAACUACGUUAUUCAGUCAAUUCUCAACCACGGCAUUGAAUGGGCGGCAUCGAAAAUAGUUGAUGAGCUGGAGGGUCACUUUGGGUAUCUGUCAAUUCAGAAAUGUGGUAGCCAUGUGGUGGAAAACUGUCUGAAGCGAGCGCCCCAGCACAUGCGUGACAAAAUCAUCCAAGAACUUAUCAACGAUCCCCAGUUGCAGCAUAUUAUGGUGGAUCAGUACGGCAAUUUUGUUAUUCAAACAGCACUUGAACAUUGCAAGGGUCCGCUACAUACCACCUUUGUCGAGGCUAUUAGGCCACACGCUGCUGCAAUGCAAAGCCACAUGUAUGGGAAAAGGGUUCUAUCAAAAACAUACCUCAAGAACAAGCAACACCGAGUUGGAGUUUUGUAG